rnacentral:rRNA from 1 species
AGAGUUUGAUCCUGGCUCAGAGCGAACGCUGGCGGCAGGCCUAACACAUGCAAGUCGAACGGACCCUUCGGGGUUAGUGGCGGACGGGUGAGUAACACGUGGGAACGUGCCUUUAGGUUCGGAAUAGCUCCUGGAAACGGGUGGUAAUGCCGAAUGUGCCCUUCGGGGGAAAGAUUUAUCGCCUUUAGAGCGGCCCGCGUCUGAUUAGCUAGUUGGUGGGGUAAUGGCCCACCAAGGCUACGAUCAGUAGCUGGUCUGAGAGGAUGACCAGCCACAUUGGGACUGAGACACGGCCCAAACUCCUACGGGAGGCAGCAGUGGGGAAUCUUGCGCAAUGGGCGAAAGCCUGACGCAGCCAUGCCGCGUGUAUGAUGAAGGUCUUAGGAUUGUAAAAUACUUUCACCGGUGAAGAUAAUGACUGUAGCCGGAGAAGAAGCCCCGGCUAACUUCGUGCCAGCAGCCGCGGUAAUACGAAGGGGGCUAGCGUUGCUCGGAAUUACUGGGCGUAAAGGGAGCGUAGGCGGACAUUUAAGUCAGAGGUGAAAUCCCGGAGCUUAACUUCGGAACUGCCUCUGAUACUGGGUGUCUUGAGUGUGAGAGAGGUAUGUGGAACUCCGAGUGUAGAGGUGAAAUUCGUAGAUAUUCGGUAGAACACCAGUGGCGAAGGCGACAUACUGGCUCAUUACUGACGCUGAGGCUCGAAAGCGUGGGGAGCAAACAGGAUUAGAUACCCUGGUAGUCG